CUCUACCCAUGGCUGGACAGCUUCCAUUUGUGUUUGGGGACAGACUGAGUGAGUCUGGAAGAGGCAAAGCACGCAGUUUCUGAGUGGUUUACCAUCAUAAUUUUUUUUCUAAUUCAGACAGAUUAACUGAAUUUUUUUGGGAUGCAAAGGAUGCAGGAGGGGCUACUCUUUGUUGCAACAAAAAAAAACAGUAGCAGACGGACAGGGAAAUCUGGGCUGUGGAACACAUCUUUGUGUGCCUGCAACAGCAUCAUCGGUCAUCAAAGUCUCUCAGGUUUCUGUCUGCACUGUUUCUUUACACAUUCUGCAUGGUCCCACUUUUCACACUUGCAGAUACCCUACACUGCAAUACAUAAAUUCCACUUUUGAGUAUUUUCAAGCUACAGUAAAGGAAGGAUCAGUCUCCACAACCUUCCUUGAACAGAGUUCAAAACCCAGAACAAAAACAAACAUCUUUUCUUUGUAUCAAAAUGUACUGUGCAGUACUCAAGCUAUGCUAAAUAAAUCUAAGUGCUUCUAUCUUCCAGCAUAGCCUCCCAUUGCAGACUUUAUCCAAAGAUUUCUGAGUGAAAUCCUGGGCUCAAAAAAGAAAAAAGUUAAAUGAGCUUGAACAAAAGACAGCUAAGCUUUUCUUGUCACUGACUGGUCCCUUGCCUUCUAUUGACUUCAGUUUUUACAAGCCAACUGCUGUUGUGACAACUAACUUGACUAUGAUGACUACCUAGAAAAACCAGCAGUUGCAACAAAGCCUGCACACAUUCUCAUAAUUGUUCCAAGCAAGAAAUAUACACAAUUUUUUUCAGUUCAGAGAGUUCCAUAAUAGCAUUUUGUA